CAGCAGCCGCGGGAACACGUAGGGUGCGAGCGUUAAUCGGAAUUACUGGGCGUAAAGCGUGCGCAGGCGGUUGUGUAAGACAGGUGUGAAAUCCCCGGGCUUAACCUGGGAACUGCGCUUGUGACUGCACAGCUAGAGUAUGGCAGAGGGGGGUGGAAUUCCACGUGUAGCAGUGAAAUGCGUAGAGAUGUGGAGGAACACCGAUGGCGAAGGCAGCCCCCUGGGCCAAUACUGACGCUCAUGCACGAAAGCGUGGGGAGCAAACAGGAUUAGAUACCCGAGUAGUCCCUGUCUCUUAUAC
rnacentral:rRNA from 1 species